GACGAACGCUGGCGGCGUGCUUAACACAUGCAAGUCGAACGGUGAAAGGGAGCUUGCUCCCUGGAUCAGUGGCGAACGGGUGAGUAACACGUGGGCAACCUGCCCCAGACUUCGGGAUAACGCUUCGAAAGAGGCGCUAAUACCGGAUACGAACUCCUUGGGCAUCCUUGGAGUUGGAAAGUUUUUCGGUCUGGGAUGGGCCCGCGGCCUAUCAGCUUGUUGGUGAGGUAACGGCUCACCAAGGCGACGACGGGUAGCCGGCCUGAGAGGGCGACCGGCCACACUGGGACUGAGACACGGCCCAGACUCCUACGGGAGGCAGCAGUGGGAAAUAUUGCGCAAUGGGCGAAAGCCUGACGCAGCAACGCCGCGUGAGGGAUGACGGCCUUCGGGUUGUAAACCUCUUUCAGCAGGGAAGAAGCGAAAGUGACGGUACCUGCAGAAGAAGCACCGGCUAACUACGUGCCAGCAGCCGCCGUAA
rnacentral:rRNA from 1 species